GGAGUGAUACGCUAACUCAGUUUCUAACACUGAAAGAUAGCCACCGAGCUCAUUUUUUAAUCCAUUGAAGGUUUUCUAUGAAAAUAUAUUUUAUUAUCACCCAGAGAAGCAGCAAUGUAAAACCAACCAACCUCGAUGGCUAUCAUUCA